AGGGCGGCGGAGCGGCCCGUAGUCUCCUGCGCCCAGCGCUGCGCUGCCGUUGUAGUCCAUCUCCGUCCACCUCGUGCUCCUUCUCGGCCCUCUCCGCCGGUGCCCGCUGCUACUCGCUGGCGUACUCUCCCCGCCAGCUUCUUCACGGGGCGAGAGAGAGAGAGAGAGAAGGAGCUCGAUUUAGCUUCUUCCGUCAUUUCCUCCUCCAAUCUGUCCGUCUCCUUUCUAGCUUGUUCCUAUUUGGAUGGAUCCAAUUCGAUUGGUGGAAACUGAGGUUGCAAUCCAUUUUUGGGUGAGUGGAUUUGGAAAUCGGCGUUCUAUUUUUUUUCGUUUUUCCUUCUUCUUUUUUGGUUAAUUGAGGGGGACUUGCUUGUUUUGUCUUGUAUGAAAUCUGAAAUUGAUAUGCUUUGACAACAUCUUUCACAAAAAAAAAGAUAUGCUUUGACAGCACUGCUUGUCUGAAUUUCAUGAGGUGUGUAUGGUGAUAAUGCACUGACCAAUUUGAUGCGUGGAGAGAAUAAGAGGAGUAGGUACGCAAAAGUGCGGU
rnacentral:lncRNA from 1 species